rnacentral:tRNA from 1 species
GGAGAAGUACUCAAGAGGCUGAAGAGGUGCCCCUGCUAAGGGCAUAGAUCGGGUUUAACCGGUGCGAGGGUUCAAAUCCCUCCUUCUCCGCCA